UACGAGUGCGUCGAGCGUUAUCCGGAAUCAUUGGGCGUAAAGGGUGCGUAGGUGGCGAGGUAAGUCGGAUGUGAAAGCUCGGAGCUCAACUCCGAAAUGGCAUUGGAAACUACCUUGCUCGAGGGUUGGAGGGGGGACUGGAAUACUUGGUAUAGCAGUGAAAUGCGUAGAUAUCAAGUGGAACACCAGUGGCGAAGGCGAGUCCCUGGACAACUCCUGACACUGAGGCACGAAAGCUAGGGGAGCAAACAGG
rnacentral:rRNA from 1 species